AUUGAACGCUGGCGGCAUGCCUUACACAUGCAAGUCGAACGGUAACGGGCCUUCGGGUGCCGACGAGUGGCGAACGGGUGAGUAAUACAUCGGAACGUGCCCGAUCGUGGGGGAUAACGAGGCGAAAGCUUUGCUAAUACCGCAUACGAUCUACGGAUGAAAGCAGGGGACCGCAAGGCCUUGCGCGGACGGAGCGGCCGAUGGCCGAUUAGGGAGUUGGUGGGAUAAAAGCUUACCAAGCCGACGAUCUGUAGCUGGGCUGAGAGGAUGAUCAGCCACACUGGGACUGAGACACGGCCCAGACUCCUACGGGAGGCAGCAGUGGGGAAUUUUGGACAAUGGGCGCAAGCCUGAUCCAGCCAUGCCGCGUGCAGGAUGAAGGCCUUCGGGUUGUAAACUGCUUUUGUACGGAACGAAAAGCCUUCUUUUAAUACAGGAGGGUCAUGACGGUACCGUAAGAAUAAGCACCGGCUAACUACGUG
rnacentral:rRNA from 1 species